rnacentral:rRNA from 1 species
ACUCAAAUGAAUUGACGGGGGCCCGCACAAGCGGUGGAGCAUGUGGUUUAAUUCGAUGCAACGCGAAGAACCUUACCUACCCUUGACAUCCUGCGAACCUUGGAGAGAUCUGAGGGUGCCGAAAGGAACGCAGAGACAGGUGCUGCAUGGCUGUCGUCAGCUCGUGUUGUGAGAUGUUGGGUUAAGUCCCGUAACGAGCGCAACCCUUGUCCUUAGUUGCCAGCAUUUAGUUGGGGACUCUAAGGAGACUGCCGGUGAGGAACCGGAGGAAGGCGGGGACGACGUCAAGUCAUCAUGGCCUUUAUGGGUAGGGCUACACACGUGCUACAAUGGGGCGUACAGAGGGUCGCUAACCUGCGAAGGGGAGCCAAUCUCAAAAAGCGUCUCGUAGUCCGGAUUGGAGUCUGCAACUCGACUCCAUGAAGUUGGAAUCGCUAGUAAUCGCGAAUCAGCAAUGUCGCGGUGAAUACGUUCCCGGGCCUUGUACACACCGCCCGU